rnacentral:rRNA from 1 species
UACGAAGGGGGCUAGCGUUGCUCGGAACCACUGGGCGUAAAGGGUGCGUAGGCGGGUCUUUAAGUCAGGGGUGAAAUCCUGGAGCUCAACUCCAGAACUGCCUUUGAUACUGAAGAUCUUGAGUUCGGGAGAGGUGAGUGGAACUGCGAGUGUAAAGGUGAAAAUUCGUAGAUAUUCGCAAGAACACCAGUGGCGAAGGCGGCUCACUGGCCCGAUACUGACGCUGAGGCACGAAAGCGUGGGGAGCAAACAGGG